rnacentral:rRNA from 1 species
AUUGAACGCUGGCGGCAUGCCUUACACAUGCAAGUCGAACGGUAACGCGGGGCAACCUGGCGACGAGUGGCGAACGGGUGAGUAAUGCAUCGGAACGUGCCCAGUAGUGGGGGAUAGCCCGGCGAAAGCCGGAUUAAUACCGCAUACGACCUACGGGUGAAAGGGGGGGAUCGCAAGACCUCUCGCUAUUGGAGCGGCCGAUGUCAGAUUAGGUAGUUGGUGGGGUAAAGGCCUACCAAGCCUACGAUCUGUAGCUGGUCUGAGAGGACGACCAGCCACACUGGGACUGAGACACGGCCCAGACUCCUACGGGAGGCAGCAGUGGGGAAUUUUGGACAAUGGGCGCAAGCCUGAUCCAGCCAUGCCGCGUGCGGGAAGAAGGCCUUCGGGUUGUAAACCGCUUUUGUCGGGGAAGAAAUCUUCUGGGCUAAUACCUCGGGAGGAUGACGGUACCCGAAGAAUAAGCACCGGCUAACUACGUGCCAGCCGCCGCGGUAA